rfam:Cricetulus griseus cell line CHO-K1, whole genome shotgun sequence.
UUAAAGGCCCUUUUCAGGGCCACCACGUUUUCUUGAAGGAGCUGG